AUUUCUUUUUCACCUGCCUUCUGUUUUCUCCGCUGAAGGACUGAGAGGUUUGGUCUCGUCCCUCUUUUAUAUGUUAUCCUCUUUUCUUUGAAUCUUCCUUCUUCUUCUUCUUCUUCUUCUUCUUCUUCUUCUCUUUCUUUCUGUUUCUUUUCUUCUUCUCAUUCUGUUCGUUUUGCGGAUGAUUUGUGAAACGAAGUUUGUAUUUGAAUCUCUGAGAAUUGAUUGUUGGUGGUGCUGUCGAUGUUGAUUGAUUAUAAGAAGAAGAAAAAGAGAUGUCGAGGCUGCUGUGAAUUGAAUUUAGGAUUUUUGGAGUUAGGGUUUGUCUAGAAUUGAGAGGUGAUUUGGGUUGCUGCUUGAUGAAGAAUAUAAGGGUUGUAAUUGAAUUGGAUGUUUGAAGUUGAUUCAGUGGAGAUUCGUUGAUGAGAUAUUAUUAGGGUUUCAGUAGAGUUGCAGAAGAGAAUUCGAAGAUGAAAUUGAUACUCUAGAAGAUCAAUUGAAGAUGGGUUUUGUGUGUUGAACUUAAAGGAGAAGAUUUAAUAUCUAAUUUUCGAUUCAGAGAGAAGAAUAAGGGUUCAUGUGUUCUUCCCCAAAUUGAGAAGAAUUCAGUGGAGAUUGUGAUGGGUUGCUCGAGUAGAAUCAUUUAGGGGUAUGGACAAGAUCGCCGGUAGGGCUUUUAGUUAUAGUCGGAUGCACAGAACUGGUACUAAUUGUCAAAGACUUAAACUUGACAUUCUUCAAGUACCUCCAAGUACAGGCUUUUUGCUCAUAGGAUGGGUUCUGACUUCUGAGCAUCUAGGAAAGAUGCUAUCAAAGUUAAAAUUUCUUCUUAUUUUGGAUUAGAAGGAAUAUAGUUAUCACUUAUUGUUCUUUUUAUGUUGCUCGACUCUUAUUAAAAUUUUGUUUAGUCAUUUAUGACCUUUGGUUAUUUCGUACCAAAAUUGAUGCAUAAUGAUUGCUUUUGCAGCACUUAGAAACUGUAUUCAAGUUUCGUAUCCCAGGCUCAAAUAUGACUUAAACUCAAGCAGUUGAAGUACUAUGGACCAACACCGCUCAGACUCAGGUGGUUCGGAUUUGAAGCAAGUAGAGAAAGUAACACGUCGGUCUUCGGUUUGUGAGGUGGCUUCAUCGAAGAAAGCUGAAUUAAAAGCCAAGAUAGCUCGUCAUGCAGAGAAAAGACAGGUGCAUUUUGGUUAUUGAUUUAUCUCAAAGAAGUUAUCUUUGUUCACGAACUCUGCUUCACUUCCAAGUCUCCUGCCAAGCGUACUUAUAUUUCUCUCCUUCCAUAAAAGAUAAAACUCUGCAGAUAACAUGUCCUGGUAUAACAAGUAUCUGGACAGGUCCUGAUGAGGAAGGGAGAAGCAGAGUCGCAGGAUGAUAAAUGAAUGUCAUCAUGGAACUUGGACAAGAACCACUAGAUGCACAAAUGAUCCAUUUUUUGUUCUUAUUUUUGUUUUCAUGCCAUCAGGUGUGUUCUUAUCAUGUCCCAAACUUUCCACGGGCAUUUUUGGAUGUUGAUAAUUUUAGUUACCAGGUUUUUUAACUAUCUGGGUGUUGUUCUGUUGCCCAGAAUCAUGUUUUUUAAAUAGUUAAACAUCUUACUGUCGGAUGUGUAAGUUUCUAUGGUGUGACAAUGUAAAAAUUUGUUAUGAAAAGUACAAGUUUUCAGUGUGAAUGAUGCUGAGUUUUGGAAAGCUUUUU